GGAAAGUGCCACAGAGAGUAGACCGCCCUGUGGGUGUGGUCAAGACCCACUCACGGAGCAAGGGUGAAAGGGUGAGGUAAGAGCUCACCGCUCUGGUGGUGACACCAGAGGCAGGGCAAACCCCAUCCGGAGCAAGGCCAAAUCGGCCCCCGAAGAGAUAGCUCGUCUCAGGGGGCGGGUAGGCCGCUUGACCCCUUGAGUAAUCAAGGGGCGAGAUAAAUAACCGCCCCUGCCCUCGGGCAGGAACAGAAUUCGGCUUACGUCCUGCUCCAGCCU
rnacentral:RNase_P_RNA from 1 species